GGCGUGGCAUAGUGGUUUGAGCGUUCGACUAUGACUCUGGAGAGCAGGGUUCGAAUCCCCGCUUGGCCA